GGACUCUUGCAGAGGAUGACAGCCUGGAGCAGGAUUUACAGCAGGUCAUGGUGUCUGGACCCAACCUGAAUGAAACCAGCAUUGUGUCUGGAGGUUAUGGAGGACCUGCAGGGGGCAUCAUUCCUACAAGCACCAUCAAAGGGUCUAUGAAUCAUAACACCAGUUCAACUGAAG